AGAGCGAACGCUGGCGGCAGGCCUAACACAUGCAAGUCGAGCGCCCGUAGCAAUACGGGAGCGGCAGACGGGAUAGUAACACGUGGGAACGCGCCCUUCGGUUCGGAAUAACUCAGGGAAACUUGAGCUAAUACCGGAUACGCCCUUACGGGGAAAGAUUUAUUGCCGAAGGAACGGCCCGCGUCCGAUUAGCUAGUUGGUGAGGUAAUGGCUCACCAAGGCGACGAUCGGUAGCUGGUCUGAGAGGAUGACCAGCAUCACUGGGACUGAGACACGGCCCAGACUCCUACGGGAGGCAGCAGUGGGGAAUAUUGGACAAUGGGCGCAAGCCUGAUCCAGCCAUGCCGCGUGGAUGAUGAAGGCCUUAGGGUUGUAAAGUCCUUUUAACGGGGAAGAUAAUGACGGUACCCGUAGAAUAAGCCCCGGCUAACUUCGCGCCAGUAGCCGC
rnacentral:rRNA from 1 species